rnacentral:rRNA from 1 species
UACGGAGGAUCCAAGCGUUAUCCGGAAUCAUUGGGUUUAAAGGGUCCGUAGGCGGUUUUAUAAGUCAGUGGUGAGAUCCGGCAGCUCAACUGUCGAACUGCCAUUGAUACUGUAAGACUUGAAUUAUUAUGAAGUAACUAGAAUAUGUAGUGUAGCGGUGAAAUGCUUAGAUAUUACAUGGAUACCAAUUGCGAAGGCAGGUUACUAAUAAUAUAUUGACGCUGAUGGACGAAAGCGUGGGGAGCGAACAGG